rnacentral:rRNA from 1 species
UGGGGAAUAUUGGACAAUGGGCGAAAGCCUGAUCCAGCCAUGCCGCGUGUGUGAAGAAGGUCUUCGGAUUGUAAAGCACUUUAAGUUGGGAGGAAGGGCAUUAACCUAAUACGUUAGUGUUUUGACGUUACCGACAGAAUAAGCACCGGCUAACUCUGUGCCAGCAGCCGCGGUAAUACAGAGGGUGCAAGCGUUAAUCGGAAUUACUGGGCGUAAAGUGCGCGUAGGUGGUUUGGUAAGUUGGAUGUGAAAUCCCCGGGCUCAACCUGGGAACUGCAUUCAAAACUGACUGACUAGAGUAUGGUAGAGGGUGGUGGAAUUUCCUGUGUAGCGGUGAAAUGCGUAGAUAUAGGAAGGAACACCAGUGGCGAAGGCGACCACCUGGACUAAUACUGACACUGAGGUGCGAAAGCGUGGGGAGCAAACA